ensembl:ncRNA F17E5.6 ncRNA
CUCAUGUUGCGGUCUUAUAAAAAGAGGUAAGCAUUACGUCAUUAAUUUUAAUGAACUUGAGUGCGUGGGGGACGGAAAUCGUUAAACUUAGGAUUUUUUCUUGUUUAUAACAUAAUAUUUUCUGCAAAAUGCAAAAUCAAACCAUCCAAUCUUAAAUUAUUGAAGCAGAACAACUA